AUAUUCAUCUUGCCAUCAACUAGAAGCCCCAAAUCCCUUUUCCAUAGAGCUGUUCUCUGGCCUCUCACCCCCCAGUCUCUCAGGUUGUCCUGUUCCAGAUGAACUUUCUGGCUGAAGAUUCUCUAACUCCGCAGUGAAGCCCAGCACCUGAACUGACAUGAGAUAAUUCCCAGCACCUCUGAUAGCCCUCUUGAAAAAUAUAAUAGCUUACAGCAAUUA